rnacentral:rRNA from 1 species
GACGAACGCUGGCGGCGCGCUUAAUACAUGCAAGUCGAGCGAGAACCGGAGCUUCGGCUCCGGGGACAGCGGCGAACGGGUGAGUAACACGUGGGUAACCUGCCCUCGGCACCGGGAUAGCCCGGGGAAACCCGGAUUAAUACCGGAUGGCCCUUUCGGUCUUCGGACCGGUCGGCAAAGGUAGCGUCGGCCUCCGGCCGAGGAUGGGCCCGCGGCGGAUUAGCUUGUUGGUGAGGUAACGGCUCACCAAGGCUCCGAUCCGUAGCUGGUCUGAGAGGACGAUCAGCCACACUGGGACUGAGACACGGCCCAGACUCCUACGGGAGGCAGCAGUAGGGAAUCUUGCGCAAUGGGCGAAAGCCUGACGCAGCGACGCCGCGUGCGGGAAGACGGCCUUCGGGUUGUAAACCGCUUUCAGGAGGGACGAAGCCACUCGGGUGAAUAGCCCAGAGGGUGACGGUACCUCCAGAAGAAGCCCCGGCUAACUACGUGCCAGCCGCCGCUGUAAAAC